rnacentral:ncRNA from 1 species
UAACAAAUGAAUACGGUUCCUCAUAUAUCGCUGAGAAUAUGGCUCAGAAGUUUCUACCUAGCACCGUAAAUGCUGGACUAUGAGGGAGGAUGAAUCGUUG